rnacentral:rRNA from 1 species
AUUGAACGCUGGCGGCAGGCCUAACACAUGCAAGUCGAACGAGUGGCGGACGGGUGAGUAAGGUCUGGGAAACUGCCUGAUGGAGGGGGAUAACUACUGGAAACGGUAGCUAAUACCGCAUACAAUCAGAUGUGCCCAGAUGUGAUUAACUUGUGGGUGGGGUAACGGCUCACCCAGGCGACGAUCCCGAGCUGGGCUGAGAGGAUGACCAGCCACCCUGGAACUGAGACACGGUCCAGACUCCUACGGGAGGCAGCAGUGGGGAUUAGUGCACAAUUGGCGCAAGCCUGAUGCAGCCAUGCCGCGUGUAUGAAGAAGGCCUUCGGGUUGUAAAGUACUUUCAGCGGGGAGGCGUUACCCGCAUAAGAAGCACCGGCUAACUCCGUGCCAGCCGCCGCGGUAAUAC